rnacentral:rRNA from 1 species
UGCCAGCCGCCGCGGUAACACGGGGGGCGCAAGCGUUAUUCGGAAUUAUUGGGCGUAAAGGGCGCGCAGGCGGUCUUGUCCGUCAGGUGUGAAAGCUCGGGGCUCAACCCCGGAAGUGCACUUGAAACAGCAAGACUUGAAUACGGUAGAGGAGAGAGGAACUCCUGGUGUAGAGGUGAAAUUCGUAGAUAUCACAUAGAACACCUAUUGCGAAGGCAGCUCACUAAGCCGAUACUGACGCUCAGGGACGAAAGCGUGGGGAGCGAACAGGAUUAGAUA